CGGUAUUUUGACCGUGCUAAGGUAGCAUAAUCAAUUGUUUUUUAAUUGAAAACUAGUAUGAACGGUUUAAUUUACUUAAUUAGUUUGUAAUUUUUAAUAGUAAGUUAAAUAUAAAGUAAGAAUUCUUUAAUAAAUUAGGGGACGAUAAGACCCUAAAAGCUUUAUGACUGGCAUUUAAUUGGUGAUAGCGGUGUUAUUAAUUCACUGGGGCAGUGAGUUUAGGUAUAUUUAAGUAUAAUUAAAAGCUCCUUUAAAUAAAGAUUUCAUGUAUAAGUUACUUUAGGGAUAACAGUGCAAUAUAUU
rnacentral:rRNA from 1 species